rnacentral:rRNA from 1 species
UAGUGAUAGCUGGUUGUUCAGGAAAAGAGUUUUAGCUCUGCCUUAAGUUUUUUUAUUAUACCAAACAAGCCCUAAAACUUAAGAGUUAUUCAAAUUAGGCACAGCUUAUUUGAAACAGGAUACAACCUCAGCCACCGGGUAAACAAGGGUAAUCAAAAUAAAGUGGGCCCAAAAGCAGCCAUCUUCCAAAAAGCGUCAAAGCUUAGCUAUUCUAACCCAUAAUUCCUAAAACACUCCCCAACCCUUCAUUCCUACUGAACCCUUUUAUAUAACUAUAAAAAUUAUAAUGCUAGAACUAGUAACAAGAAGUUGCCCUUCUCCACAAUGUAAAUGUAAACCAAGAUGGACUAUCCAUUGGUGAUUAACGUAAAUGAAAUCUCCAUAAUAACACGUAACUAGAAAACCUUAUGGCCCUUCACGUUACCCUAACACUAGAACAUUACAGGAAAGAUUAAAAGAGAAAGAAGGAACUCGGCAAAUUUUAGCCCCGCCUGUUUACCAAAAACAUCGCCUCUUGAUAAUAUAAGAGGUCCAGCCUGCCCAGUGACAAAAUUCAACGGCCGCGGUACACUAACCGUGCGAAGGUAGCAUAAUCACUUGUUCUUUAAAUAGGGACUAGUAUCAACGGCAUCACGAGGGCUAUACUGUCUCCUCUCUCUAAUCAGUGAAACUGAUCCCCCCGUGAAGAAGCGGGGAUUCAAUUAUAAGACGAGAAGACCCCAUGGAGCUUUAAACCCAACAUAUACCCCCUUACCUGAACCAACUUAACCUGAGGGACUUAUAUGCUGGUUUUAGGCUGGGGGGGCCACGGAGUAAAACUAAACCUCCAUAGCAAAUGGGCUAACACCCUUAUCCAUGAUUUUACAAAUCUAAGAAUUACCAAAAUAAUGUUUAACGACCCGAUAACUCGAUCAAUGAACUAAGUUACCCUGGGGAUAACAGCGCAAUCUACUUCAAGAGCCCCUAUCGACAAGUAGGCUUACGACCUCGAUGUUGGAUCAGGGUAUCCCAGUGGUGCAACCGCUACUGACGGUUCGUUUGUUCAACGAUUAAAACCCU